rnacentral:rRNA from 1 species
UGGGGAAUAUUGGACAAUGGGCGAAAGCCUGAUCCAGCCAUGCCGCGUGGAUGAUGAAGGCCUUAGGGUUGUAAAGUCCUUUCGGCGGGGAAGAUAAUGACGGUACCCGCAGAAGAAGCCCCGGCUAACUUCGUGCCAGCAGCCGCGGUAAUACGAAGGGGGCUAGCGUUGCUCGGAAUCACUGGGCGUAAAGCGCACGUAGGCGGCUUCUUAAGUCAGGGGUGAAAUCCUGGAGCUCAACUCCAGAACUGCCUCUGAUACUGAGGAGCUUGAGUCCGGGAGAGGUGAGUGGAACUCCGAGUGUAGAGGUGAAAUUCGUAGAUAUUCGGAAGAACACCAGUGGCGAAGGCGGCUCACUGGCCCGGUACUGACGCUGAGGUGCGAAAGCGUGGGGAGCAAACGGGAUUAGAUACCCAUGUAGUCCCUGAGCGGGCUGGCAAGGCGCAU